ensembl:lncRNA
UGCCAAACAAGAAUGCCUGCUCACACACUGCAUCGUAGCGCCCAUGCUGGCCCUCGACCCGGCCCUGCCCGCCAACGUCACGGUGAAGGACCUGCCGUCGCUCCUGUCGCCCUCCUUCUCCACGGCCAAGGAGCUCAUGCUGGUCACCCAGCCCUUCCCACCGUCCACCACUGUCUCCGUGCUCAUCUUCCACUCCCAGGCUGAAGGUCAGCUCGCUGAAAACCUGUUUUCAGUGUGUUGACGUUCGCAGUUCAAUAAAACACAACACACGCGGAUAAAGCCUAUAAAGACACAUCUGGCGAAGACCUGAAGCACUCCAUAUCCAGAUGUUACCUUACAGCAGACCGCGAGGCCCCGGGCUGGUCAUGCAGAGCCUGGCCUACCUGAGUGGCUUCCUCCACCUUUAAGGACACGGAGCAGCUCCGGGCCAAGCUGCCCUCCGUCAUCACCAGCAAAAUCAAAGAA